UUCAUGCCUGAGAAUUCAUAGGUUUAGUUCAUAUUUUUCUAUAGGCAACUGUUCUUAGCAUAGACUGCUGAGUGUGAGCUCACUGUCAACAUGCUUUAUCUACCCCACAUCUUCUCUGUACAAGACAGUUCAUGCCUUCCUGUGCUUAGGAACAGCAGAAAGCAGUUACAGGCCAUAUUUGGGGUGUUUUGUUUUAUUCUAAGGCAGAAUCUCCAUGGCUCGGGAAUAAUUUUAAACAGUGAAACCACAGAGCACAAGCAGCAAUGGCGAAGGCUCCUCAUUUGGCCUGAGAAGUGUAGCAGAGGGCACAGUGGUGCCUGUUGUGCCUUAGCUAGGACCACAGUCCUGGGCCAACUCUUCAGUUAUGUGCUCUUCUGCAUGUUUUCAAGUGGCUAGGAAGUCUAAGGUACUGACUUCCAGGGGAGGGCUGCAAAAUCCCUUCACCGGGCCUAUACAUUUUAAACCCUUCAACAGGCCUGUACGUUUUAAAGCUUUGGAAUCUGAAUAACAAAGGUCAGCCACAAAUGUGGAAGACACAGUGAGUGUGUUGUCUUUUGUGUCCUAACUGUGAGGGUUCAUUCGCUACAUAACACAUGUCUAUUUAAAAAAAAAAGU
rnacentral:lncRNA from 1 species